UAAGGUGACUAUAGCACGAAGGUUCCACCUCUUCCCAUUCCGAACAGAGAAGUUAAGCUUCGUCACGCCGAUGGUACUGCUAAUUGUGGGAGAGUAGGUAGUCGCCGUUU
rnacentral:rRNA from 1 species